rnacentral:tRNA from 1 species
CAGAGCAUAGCUAAGACAAGAAUAGCGUCUCCCUUACACUGAGAAGUCCUUCGUGCAAACCGAAUUGCCCUGA